UGUCCAGCUGAAACAAAAAAUUAAAAAGAGAUAAAACGAAAAAAAAUAUUCAACCGAUCGCGUUCGUCGUCGUUCUAACACGACCGGAUGUUUUAACGCGGAAGCUUCGCACGCGCGUAGCAUUUACACACGGCGCCGGCGUUACGUUUCAAUUUCCAAUCGUACAUCAUCGUUCGGCAAAUCGACCGAUAAUUGUCCCUCGUCUCUGUAUCAGCUUCUUCCACGACGAUAAACAGUUUCGCUUUUCAAUAUCGAGUCUUACCCAAUCUGUGAUCAUCGGUCGAUGUCUUCUCGUAUACGGUAACGGUAACGAUGCGCUAGAACCGCGCGACUCAUCGGAGCUUCUCUCUCCGAAUCAGAUCUCUGACAGCUUCUACCACGUAAAAAUUCCCGAUAUCUCUUGCCACUUCUUACAUCGAUACUCUUCAAAUUUUUCAAUGCACGAUCCGAUCGAACACGACGUUAUCGCGAUAUUACCACGAUCUUUCUCGAGAAGAUAUCUUUCGCGAUAAAGAGAACUUUAUAAAUAAAGUUCGUGAUUAUUCGCGAUUAUUCGUCGCACGAGGCUUGUUUUCACACAGCGGUAAAUCGACAACGCGGGCGUAUCUCUGGCUCGGAUAGGCACUGAAUCGUAGAGCGAAACGUAUCCUCGAAGUAACCUCGCGAGCGGAUGGUAAGAUCGAGUUAACGGCAUUAAGAAGAGCGAGUCAUCGAACGGGUCGAAAGAAGGGAAGUUUGAGAUCGCGUUAGUCAGAGUGGCGGAUUGGAGAGACGCGCGUGCGUAGUCGGUGCGAGUCUACCCACGAUCGGCCGAGUAGAUCGUCGUCGUGUCAUGUCGCGCAUCGGUGUUUACACGUUCGCGCCUCUCGAUGCGUUCAUCGACGGAUUCAAGAAGCCAAACGUUUCUUCGACCUUCCUGACGUUUAUCGCGACGCUACUUUCUCCGACAAUUUCAGUCCCUUACGAUCGUUCCAGCGCAGUUCCCUUCCUUUUCACGUCUCGUCAAAGUUCUUUCUCUCGCUCUCUGAUUCUUAACCUUCGUUCUUUCGCGUAAAAUGGAUAAACGCGUGAUUAUUCCAAUAUCGAUAGAAUCGCAUUCGUCAACCCCUGAGAUAAACCGAGUGUUGACGAAUCUCACGUUCGGUGUCUCCUACGUGAUACUUCUCGUUGUACGUCAUAACCGCGAAUAGCUCAAGGUUGCGGCAGUUCGUAUAAAAACGUGGUCUGAAAAUGAUGGAAGCGUCACUCGUGCCACAAAAGGUAUUACGUUUCGAUACGACUUCGCUUUCAAAACCCACGUCUAAACUCUAACCUUCCUAUUGACUAUAAAAACGGCAACAACAAUUCGUUGAUAACGCUGAACGUGACAAAUAAGAAAUAUGUCGACGCAGAGUCACAUAGUACGAGAAACGAAAUAUCGUUCGCGCGUGUAUGAGAUCAGUUGUGCGAAUAAUCGAUGAUGUAAUCCACCAAGCUGACAGCUGACUCUACUUUCCUUUAAUUUUUUCGUCCAUCGUUCCCUACUUGUUCCUACGUCAGAAGAGCCAACUGUAACCGCUGCCGUAGGUUGUACUUAUUUUAAAUACCAAUUCUCGAUUAUUUAUACAUCAACCGUUAGAAAUAAACAUAGCGUAAAGUGUUAGAGAUCUUCUGAAUUUGUGGAAUGUGAAUGAUGGAAGAGAGAAAACCGGUUUUUAUUCGUCAAGCUCUUCUAAAAUUCUUGAAAAUAUUGGAAAAGAUCUCAGUUACAGUAAAAGAGAAGAAAAAAGAACGAGGAAAGGAACGAAGAAGGAGAUGAAGGGAAUGAGAGAGAGAGAUAGAGAGAGGGGGGGGUCAGGGGUGUGGAAGCGACAGAAACCGAUAUGAAAAAAAGAUGAAAUGGAAAGAGUCAAGCUGAUUGUACGUGAUAACGUUUUAAACUUGGAAAAGCACCAACAGGUGGUUCCAGAAACCAAACUACUGCGUAUGAUUAAAUGAUAAUCAAAUAUCAUGUACAAUAUCUUUAUAUUAAACUAAAGUGUAGUAAAUCUAAGCUAGUAAAUAA